rnacentral:rRNA from 1 species
CACGUAGGGCGCAAGCGUUGUCCGGAAUUAUUGGGCGUAAAGAGCUCGUAGGCGGUCUGUUGCGUCCGCUGUGAAAACUCGGGGCUUAACCCCGAGCCUGCAGUGGAUACGGGCAGACUAGAGGUAGGUAGGGGAGAAUGGAAUUCCCGGUGUAGCGGUGAAAUGCGCAGAUAUCUGGAGGAACACCGGUGGCGAAGGCGGCAUCCUGGACCGGUAUUGACGCUGAGGCGCGAAAGCUAGGGGAGCAAACGGG